UACGUAGGGGGCAAGCGUUGUCCGGAAUCAUUGGGCGUAAAGCGCGUGUAGGCGGUUCGGUAAGUCUGCUGUGAAAGUCCAGGGCUCAACCCUGGGAUGCCGGUGGAUACUGCCGAACUAGAGUGCGGAAGAGGCGAGUGGAAUUCCCGGUGUAGCGGUGAAAUGCGCAGAUAUCGGGAGGAACACCAAUUGCGAAGGCAGCUCGCUGGGACGUUACUGACGCUGAGACGCGAAAGCGUGGGGAGCAAACAGG
rnacentral:rRNA from 1 species